UUGAACGCUGGCGGCAGGCCUAACACAUGCAAGUCGAGCGGAUGAAGGGAGCUUGCUCCUGGAUUCAGCGGCGGACGGGUGAGUAAUGCCUAGGAAUCUGCCUGGUAGUGGGGGAUAACGUCCGGAAACGGGCGCUAAUACCGCAUACGUCCUGAGGGAGAAAGUGGGGGAUCUUCGGACCUCACGCUAUCAGAUGAGCCUAGGUCGGAUUAGCUAGUUGGUGGGGUAAAGGCCUACCAAGGCGACGAUCCGUAACUGGUCUGAGAGGAUGAUCAGUCACACUGGAACUGAGACACGGUCCAGACUCCUACGGGAGGCAGCAGUGGGGAAUAUUGGACAAUGGGCGAAAGCCUGAUCCAGCCAUGCCGCGUGUGUGAAGAAGGUCUUCGGAUUGUAAAGCACUUUAAGUUGGGAGGAAGGGCAGUAAGUUAAUACCUUCUGUUUUGACGUUACCAACAGAAUAAGCACCGGCUAACUUCGUG
rnacentral:rRNA from 1 species